rnacentral:rRNA from 1 species
GAUGAACGCUGGCGGCGUGCCUAAUACAUGCAAGUCGAGCGAACAGACGAGGAGCUUGCUCCUCUGACGUUAGCGGCGGACGGGUGAGUAACACGUGGAUAACCUACCUAUAAGACUGGGAUAACUUCGGGAAACCGGAGCUAAUACCGGAUAAUAUAUUGAACCGCAUGGUUCAAUAGUGAAAGACGGUUUUGCUGUCACUUAUAGAUGUAUCCGCGCCGCAUUAGCUAGUUGGUAAGGUAACGGCUUACCAAGGCGACGAUGCGUAGCCGACCUGAGAGGAUGAUCAGCCACACUGGAACUGAGACACGGUCCAGACUCCUACGGGAGGCAGCAGUAGGGAAUCUUCCGCAAUGGGCGAAAGCCUGACGGAGCAACGCCGCGUGAGUGAUGAAGGUCUUCGGAUCGUAAAACUCUGUUAUUAGGGAAGAACAAAUGUGUAAGUAACUAUGCACGUCUUGACGGUACCUAAUCAGAAAGCCACGGCUAACUACGUG